UACGGUUAAAUCACGCUGAAACACCGGUUCUCGAAGUUAAGCAUCGUAGAGCCAGGUCAGUACUUAGAUGGGGGACCGCUUGGGAACACCUGGUACUGUAAGC